UACAGAGGUCUCAAGCGUUGUUCGGAUUCAUUGGGCGUAAAGGGUGCGUAGGUGGCGCCGUAAGUCAGGUGUGAAAUUUCGGAGCUUAACUCCGAAACUGCAUUUGAUACUGCGGUGCUUGAGGACUGGAGAGGAGACUGGAAUUCACGGUGUAGCAGUGAAAUGCGUAGAUAUCGUGAGGAAGACCAGUGGCGAAGGCGGGUCUCUGGGCAGUAACUGACGCUGAG
rnacentral:rRNA from 1 species